rnacentral:rRNA from 1 species
GAAUUCGCCCUUAGAGUUUGAUCCUGGCUCAGGACGAACGCUGGCGGCGUGCUUAACACAUGCAAGUCGAACGAGAAUCACUGGAAGGAGUUUUCGGACAACGGAAGGUGAGGACAGUGGCGGACGGGUGAGUAACGCGUGAGGAACCUGCCUUUCAGAGGGGGACAACAGUUGGAAACGACUGCUAAUACCGCAUGACACAUAGAGAUCGCAUGGUUUUUAUGUCAAAGAUUUAUCGCUGAAAGAUGGCCUCGCGUCUGAUUAGCUAGUUGGUGAGGUAACGGCCCACCAAGGCGACGAUCAGUAGCCGGACUGAGAGGUUGACCGGCCACAUUGGGACUGAGAUACGGCCCAGACUCCUACGGGAGGCAGCAGUGGGGAAUAUUGGGCAAUGGGCGCAAGCCUGACCCAGCAACGCCGCGUGAAGGAAGAAGGCUUUCGGGUUGUAAACUUCUUUUGUCGGGGACGAGUAGAAGACGGUACCUGGCGAAUAAGCCACGGCUAACUACGUGCCAGCAGCCGCGGUAAUACGUAGGUGGCAAGCGUUGUCCGGAUUUACUGGGUGUAAAGGGCGUGUAGCCGGGAAGGCAAGUCAGAUGUGAAAUCCACGGGCUUAACUCGUGAACUGCAUUUGAAACUACUUUUCUUGAGUAUCGGAGAGGCAAUCGGAAUUCCUAGUGUAGCGGUGAAAUGCGUAGAUAUUAGGAGGAACACCAGUGGCGAAGGCGGAUUGCUGGACGACAACUGACGGUGAGGCGCGAAAGCGUGGGGAGCAAACAGGAUAGAUACCCUGGUAGUCCACGCUGUAAACGAUGAAUACUAGGUGUGCGGGGGCUGACCCCCUGCGUGCCGCAGUUAACACAAUAAGUAUUCCACCUGGGGAGUACGAUCGCAAGGUUGAAACUCAAAGGAAUUGACGGGGGCCCGCACAAGCGGUGGAUUAUGUGGUUUAAUUCGACGCAACGCGAAGAACCUUACCAGGGCUUGACAUCCCACUAACGAAGUAGAGAUACAUCAGGUGCCCUUCGGGGAAAGUAGAGACAGGUGGUGCAUGGUUGUCGUCAGCUCGUGUCGUGAGAUGUUGGGUUAAGUCCCGCAACGAGCGCAACCCCUAUUGUUAGUUGCCAUCAUUCAGUUGGGCACUCUAGCGAGACUGCCGGUAAUAAACCGGAGGAAGGUGGGGAUGACGUCAAAUCAUCAUGCCCCUUAUGACCUGGGCUACACACGUGCUACAAUGGUUGGUACAACGAGUUGCGAGUCGGUGACGGCGAGCUAAUCUCUUAAAGCCAAUCUCAGUUCGGAUUGUAGGCUGCAACUCGCCUACAUGAAGUCGGAAUCGCUAGUAAUCGCGGAUCAGCGCGCCGCGGUGAAUACGUUCCCGGGCCUUGUACACACCGCCCGUCA